ensembl:lncRNA
GUUGCAGCAGCACCGCCAGAUCCUUUAACCCACUGUGCCGGGCCAGUGAUGGAACCUGCAUCCUGGUGUAGCAGGGACACUGCUGAUCCCAUUGCACCACAGCAGGAACUCCUCCAUGGUAUUAUUUGGUGUAUAGUCCUCAAAGUAAGGACUAUACAUUCAGGGAUGAUAAUAGCAUUAUUUUAAUUAAAUCUUUCCUAGGGUUACACAGGAAUAAGGCAUUAUUGCAAACCUUUUAAGAAAAGUAUUUAUUUGCAUUUCACACAUCUCUGGUGGUGGCUGACCCUAACACUUGGUUUUGUUAGGACCUGCCCACACCUCCAAGGAAGGCUUGUCUUGCAAAUGAGCAUCAUUCAGUCUGUUAUUGUUGGAGCAUCUCAAAAUGUGAAUCCCAGGUUCUCUAAAUGAGUUAAAUAUGGACAUAGCUCACAUUACUGCAUAUCAUUAUUUCCUAUUCAGAUGGAGAAUUAAUUCAUAAUAAAUGCUAUAUUCAGACAGACUUCAAAGAGUGAUUCAACAGGCCAUUAUUUGGCAAAUGCACAGUAACUAUAAAAAUGCAGUUACCUCAUUCAUCCUGUUUUCAGUCAUGUUAGCAUGAGAAUUGAGCUUCUUUCAACCCUUGAUGGUUUUAUUCUCAUAGCACUUAUUUAUAAUCUGCCCAGUGUCUAUCUGACACUGACAGAAGAGACAGCUCUGAUCAGGGGAAAAACUGGCUGUGAAACUGACUGCUCAAAGUGCCUGUCUCACCAGGAACUGCAAGGCCCAGAUGUAGUCUGCUGCUGCCUUUAGGCUUUCUCCUAUGCUCUGCCACCCAAGUCCUCCUCUAGCAGGCCCUGACUCUCUUUCAAGGUGUGUUAAAUUAUUUCAUUAAUUCAGAGUUUCUCAAAGUUGCAAAUGACUAACUCUUCAGUGUGAAGUAGGAGAUAGAUGGGUCCCAGGCUGAGUAACUAUAGUCUGUUCCCUGUGGACAGGUAACUUCAAAAUAAAGGUUAUGGCAGGAGCA